UUGAGUAAAUCAUUAACAAUUCUGUUACUAUUAGACUUAUUUGAGUCUAUGUAUUGUGAUUGGGAACACUCUAUAAACCCAUGGGAGUCCUUCAGUAUAUUCCUAUUGAGCUAGUUUACUCUGUUUACUGGGGAAAAUAUGUGCAGUAGAGCUAUUCUUCUUUCUUAUGAGAAAUCACAAGUAUUGCAAUUCAGAGACAUUUAUUUCUCAGCGUGUGGAAUAUUGGUAUAAUUGGAAUG
rnacentral:misc_RNA from 1 species